GACAAUUAGGGUUGAUCGUGCGCAACGGGCAUAGAGUCCCACUUACAUAUCUCAGUUGGAAUGUGAUGCAUGUUGAUAUAAAGGAGAAUAUUUGGCAAGAGGUGAAGGACAUCGUGGAAAGAUCAUAAAAGCAAGACAAAGUCCAAGUAUUGGGUUCCAUUCAAGAAUGAUC